CGGGUGAGUAACACGUGGAUACUACCUAUAAGACUGGGAUAACUUCGGGAAACCGGAGCUAAUACCGGAUAAUAUAUUGAAACCGCAUGGUUCAAUAGUGAAAGACGGUUUUUGCUGUAACUUAUAGAUGGAUCCGCGCCGCAUUAGCUAGUUGGUAAGGUAACGGCUUACCAAGGCAACGAUGCGUAGCAGACCUGAGAGGGUGAUCGGCCACACUGGAACUGAGACACGGUCCAGACUCCUACGGGAGGCAGCAGCA
rnacentral:rRNA from 1 species